rnacentral:rRNA from 1 species
AGUCGAACGGAAACGAUGGAAGCUUGCUUCCAGGCGUCGAGUGGCGGACGGGUGAGUAACGCGUAGGAAUCUGCCUGAUAGUGGGGGAUAGCCCGGAGAAAUCCGGAUUAAUACCGCAUAGUCUAUUCGUAGUAAAGGGGGCCUCUAUUUAUAAGCUCUCGCUAUCAGAUGAGCCUGCGUCAGAUUAGCUUGUUGGUGAGGUAAAAGCUCACCAAGGCAACGAUCUGUAGCUGGUCUGAGAGGAUGAUCAGCCACACUGGGACUGAGACACGGCCCAGACUCCUACGGGAGGCAGCAGUGGGGAAUAUUGGACAAUGGGGGCAACCCUGAUCCAGCAAUGCCGCGUGUGUGAUGAAGGCCUUAGGGUUGUAAAGCACUUUCACUGGUGAAGAUGAUGACGGUAACCAGAGAAGAAGCCCCGGCUAACUUCGUGCCAGCAGCCGCGGUAAUACGAAGGGGGCGAGCGUUGUUCGGAAUUACUGGGCGUAAAGCGCGCGUAGGUGGUUUCGUCAGUCAGAUGUGAAAGCCCAGGGCUCAACCUUGGAAUUGCACCUGAUACUGCGGGACUAGAGUACGAUAGAGGGGAGUGGAAUUUCCGGUGUAGCGGUGAAAUGCGUAGAUAUUCGGAAGAACACCAGUGGCGAAGGCGACUCGCUGGACAGGUAUUGACGCUGAGGUGCGAAAGCGUGGGUAGCAAACAGGAUUAGAUACCCUGGUAGAAGGGC